rnacentral:misc_RNA from 1 species
UUGUGGUCUGUGAGUGGUGGUGGAGGUUUCAAGUUGCUAACUUGAAGUGUAGUCAGUAUAUAUAUAUAAAUUGUAUAGAAGGAAGGACAUAGUUAUAAUCGUGAAAUGACCUCCCUGUUAGCAAUUUAUUAAUAAAUAUAUUACAAUAUCAUAUGGGUACUAUUCCUUAUUCUGUUUACAGACUUUGAUAAGAUAAGGCAGACAGGCCAUUAAUUCUUCUACUACUUCUAUUAUUAAAGGACUCUCACUCCAUUUCUAAAGGGUUCUCGAGCAGCAUUCGCCCCCUCCUACUCCUACAUUCUUAGGCUUCCUUCCUAGGCUAUUGCUCUUCCGUCCCAGUCUUCUCUUUGACUCACAGCUUCUAAUGCUAAUUCACUAAAUAAUAAUAUUAAGUUGUAUCUUAUUUAUUAAUGUACACAACAGACUUGAGUUUAUAGUCAACAUUCAAUUCGUCGGUAUUAGUCAAUUACUUCCAAGAAAAAAGUGCUUCUCUUACUUAUUCUUAAAUCAGUGUGAGUGUGUGUGUGUUAUUGUGAAGAAGUGAGCUUUGGGUACAGUGCUACGAUGCCUGUUUUUCACACAAAAACCAUCGAAUCCAUUCUGGACCCUGUGGCACAACAGGUUUCCAGACUGGUUAUAAUCCAUGAAGAAGGAGAAGCUGGACAUGAAAUGCCGGACCUUGUGCGACCGGUUCAAGCUGUUUCUAAAGCAGUUCAUAAUCUCGUCAAGGUGGGCAGAGAAAUGGUAAUUAGCUCGGAUGAUGCCAUCCUUAAACAAGACAUGCCGCAAGCCUUAUCCAAAGUGGAAAAUGCUGCACAUCUCCUAGAAGAUGCCGCUUCCAUCAGUCAAUUGGAUCCUCUCUCCAAAUUAGCACGCUCUAAAUUAAUAGAGGGCUCACGACUUAUCCUUCAAGGAACGUCCAAUGUUCUCAUGGUAUUUGAUGAGUCUGAAGUCCGUAAAAUUGUUAGGGAAUGUAAAAAAGUAUUGGAUUAUCUCUCUGUGGCUGAAGUGAUUGAGUCCAUGGAGGACUUGGUACAAUUUGUCAAGGAUUUGAGUCCGUGUCUUUCUAAAGUUACAUUUGAUGUCGAAAAACGUAUAGAGGACCUUACACAUCAAGUACAUCGGGAAUGUUUGUCCAAAUGUGUGGAGCAAGUCAAAACACUCGCGCCUAUUCUUAUCUGCUCCAUGAAAAUCUUUAUUCAAAUCCUUGUAAACGGUGGGAAAGGAACGGAUGAAGCUGGAGAGAACCGAAACUACCUCGCGGGGCGAAUGUCCGAAGAAGUCUCAGAAAUUGUUCGUGUUCUUCAACUCACAACCUAUGACGAGGAUGAAUGGGACUCUGAUAAUCUCACCGUCAUGCGUAAAACACAAGCCGCUAUUGAGUCCAAAAUACAAAACUCCCGUGAUUGGAUUCGGGAUCCUUCCUCCUCAGGGGGUGGAAGUAGUAGUUCUUCUUCCCUUGGAGAGAAAUCCUCUAAAUUGAUUCUUGAGUUGGCGAAUAAGAUUGCAGAUCGGAGUUUACCUGGAGAUGCGGAGCAUAUUCGGAAAUUGAGUGGGGAUAUACGUUCCAUGACGGAUUCUUUGAGUGAAUUGAGGACUUCUGGAGAGGGAGGAACACUUCAAGCCGAGAUUUUGGCUCGAAAUAUCGAUUCACGACUUAAUGAGCUUUCUACAACCAUCAGUCAGGCAAUUAAUAGAGUGGAAAAAUCCGGGAUUCAACAGCCCGCACCCACCAUCAGUGGCAAAUUAGAGCAGGCAAGAAGAUGGUUAGAACAACCCGGGGUUGAUGAUCGGGGAUUGGGUCAACAUGCUAUAAAUUUAAUACUAGAUGAAGCUCGUAAGAUUGCAGAAUUGUUACCCCCAAAUCAAAGGGACAGUGUACGCAGUCUUUGCAUAGAGACAGAGGACGACAUUCGGGAUCUUAAAGACUUGUGCACAAGUGGCUAUGCUGGCUCGUCACGGGCUCAAAAUCUUGCAAGGCAAAUUGCUACACGGUUAGAUGCCAUUAAAGACGCUAUUCUCUCCGUUCUGGUGGAGAGAGUUGUUAAGGAUUUCAUGGACGUGGGCUACCCUCUUAAAAAGUUAACGGACUGUGUUCAAAAUCCGGUGGGAGCCUCCUUGGAUCGUGAUCGUAUCUUCAUUGAAAAAUCAGAUAAAUUGUCUCUGUCCUCUGAUAAUAUUGGAAGGACUGCAAAAAUGGUGGCGUUGGGGAAUGACUCUGGUAAUAAAAAAUUAGCAGAGGGUCUCUUGGCUGCGGCUAGUCAGGUUGAGUCCCUUACCCCACAACUCAUCAACGCAGGCCGGAUUUGCAUGGUUUAUCCUGAAAACGCUGCAGCAAAAGAACAUUUCGAGAAUUUAAGAAAGCAGUAUAUUGAAACAAACGAUCGUGCAAGAGCUCUUUGCGAUGAUGCUGUUGAUAGUAGAGACUUUGUUGCAAAGUCGCUUUCCGCGAUGGAGGCCGACGCCCGUCGCUGUGAAACUUGCGUUCGGGAUUCCAAUUCCUUGGGCCUCGUGGAAGAAGCCAUGAAUAUUGCUCGUUUAGCAAACCGCGUGUUUCAAGUAGCCCAUCAAGAGGCGGAAAAUUCAGAAGAACCUGCUUUUAUUUCCACGCUUAAUAUCUCUGCGGAAAAGCUUCAAUCUCGCCUACAAAUCAUGCUUCAGUCUGCAAAAGCCCUUGCUCUUAACUUGACCAACGAAUCUGCAAUUAAGGACUGGAGGAAACAAAGUCAGGCGCUACUAGAAUCUGUCAAAGGAGUACAAGGAGCAAUCUCUUACUCAGACUCACACUCCUUGCCUACCUAUCCAAACAUGAGUGGACUACAUAUUAAAGGAAAGCAGAAAGGAGGAGAGGCGCGGGAUUCUUUUGUAACCCCUUCUUACCCACAAAGAGCUCCUCCCGUACUGACAUCACCUUUCAGAGACCAAAAAAGAGCACACUUGGAGAAGAAGCAGCCAGAUUUUACUGAUGAAGAGCUUAGUGACAUAUUUCAAAUUAAUUUUAAUGAGAUAUUCGGAUCUCCGGACGCUGCAAUAGCUCAAAGUAGUCCUUAUAAAGGGAUAACACUCCCAGACAAGGGAAGAGUGAAGCAUCAAAACUUUCUUAUCGAAAAAAAUAGGCUGAAACAGAAACUGAGAAGAUCCAAAAGUGCCUCGAGCAAGCACGAACCUCGUCAUCCUCAAUAUGAAUCAGAUCCGAAUGCUCCACCACGGCCUCCCCUGCCAAGUGAUGAUGAUUACUACAAUGGGCAUCACUUAAAUGGAACACAAAAUCGCCCUGUGAAUUUCGAUACGACAGAUGAUGAGUCCGAAGACUUUUUUCUUAGUGCACCAACUCCCAGCCAAGGACCCAUUAUGCCUCUGCCACACGGCGCCAAAAGCUUUAGUAGGCCCGCACGACCUCUGGCGGAUCCAGCAUUGCCAUUGUACUGGUUGUGGUUUUGCACUUUUAAUUUACAUUCCCUGGAAUGAUGGAGUAGUCCAAGAUAGAAAUUGCACCUUCCAACAAGACUGUCCAGUGGCCCAAAAGGCUAAAAAAGUGCAGGAUGUAUUGACCACGACAUGUUCCCAUCUUUGGAACCCGAUUUUUGGCCUAUAAAUAGCCUGUACUUGAACCCAUGCGAUUUCUAUCUCUGGGGGAGUUUCGAGCAAGGGCUUGCACCAAGAAUAAUUCGUCUGUGGUGGCCUAGAAGAAGUCAAUUACCAGUAAAAUAGCAAAGCUGUAUCCAGGCCAAUUGCUGGGUCCCCAGUUGGCUGCUCAUGAUCUUCAUCAAGAGGUUAGACAAUGGUCCAGCAAGGACAAUGACAUUAUCGCAGCUGCUAAGAAGAUGGCUCAUCUCAUGGC